rnacentral:misc_RNA from 1 species
AAUUCUCAACCUUGAAAGGCUUUGUCUUUUCAAUGGCUUGGAUGUGAGGGUUUUGCUGGCUUCCUUCAGUGGAUGGUCUGCUCCCUUUAAAUGCAUUAGUGGGAUCCUUUGUGGACGGUCACUUGGUGUGAUAAUUAUCUACGCCGUUUGUACUGUGAAGCAAAACUUGUGGGAACCUGCUUAUAACCGUCUGUAAUGGACAACUUUUUUGAAC